rnacentral:rRNA from 1 species
GAUGAACGCUAGCGGCAGGCCUAAUACAUGCAAGCUGAACGGUAAAUGUUAUAGCAAUAUAAUAUGAGAGUAGCGUAAGGGUGCGUAACACGUAUGCAAUCUACCCGCAACAGGAGGAUAGCUCCCCGAAAGGGGAAUUAAUACUCCAUAAGAUCACGAGAGGGCAUCUGAUUGUGAUUAAACUCCAAGGGGUUGCGGAUGAGCAUGCGUCUGAUUAGUUAGUUGGUGAGGUAACGGCUCACCAAGACGAUGAUCAGUAGGGGAACUGAGAGGUUGAUCCCCCACACUGGCACUGAGAUACGGGCCAGACUCCUACGGGAGGCAGCAGUAGGGAAUAUUGGUCAAUGGGUGAGAGCCUGAACCAGCCAUGCCGCGUGCAGGAAGACGGCCUUCUGGGUUGUAAACUGCUUUUAUCUGGGGAUAAAAUAUCCUUGCGAGGAGAAUUGAAGGUACCAGAGGAAUAAGCCACGGCUAACUACGUGCCAGCAGCCGCGGUAAAAC